rnacentral:rRNA from 1 species
AAGAACGACGAGAAGUCAGAUAAGUCUGAGGACACGCCGCGUGAGUGAUGAAGGUUUUCGGAUCGUAAAACUCUGUUGAUAGGGAAGAACAAGUACCGUUCGAAUAGGGCGGUACCUUGACGGUACCUAACCAGAAAGCCACGGCUAACUACGUGCCAGCACCCGCGGUAAUACGUAGGUGGCAAGCGUUGUCCGGAAUUAUUGGGCGUAAAGCGCGCGCAGGCGGUUUCUUAAGUCUGAUGUGAAAGCCCCCGGCUCAACCGGGGAGGGUCAUUGGAAACUGGGGAACUUGAGUGCAGAAGAGGAGAGUGGAAUUCCACGUGUAGCGGUGAAAUGCUUAAAGAUGUGGAGGAACACCAGUGGCGAAGGCGACUCUCUGGUCUGUAACUGACGCUGAGGCGCGAAAGCGUGGGGAGCGAACAGGAUUAGAUACCCCCGUAGUCCA